rnacentral:siRNA from 1 species
UUAGAUGGACUUUGUAAAAAU